UACGAGGGGGGCGAGCGUUGUUCGGAAUUAUUGGGCGUAAAGGGUGCGUAGGCGGUUCCGCAAGUCCUGUGUGAAAUCUUCGGGCUCAACUCGAAGUCUGCACGGGAAACUGCGGGGCUUGAGGAUGAGAGAGGUGAGUGGAAUUCCCAGUGUAGAGGUGAAAUUCGUAGAUAUUGGGAAGAACACCGGUGGCGAAGGCGGCUCACUGGCUCAUUACUGACGCUCAGGCGCGACAGCGUGGGGAUCAAACAGG
rnacentral:rRNA from 1 species